UACGAAGGGGCUAGCGUUGCUCGGAAUCACUGGGCGUAAAGCGCACGUAGGCGGAUCUUUAAGUCAGGGGUGAAAUCCUGGAGCUCAACUCCAGAACUGCCUUUGAUACUGGGAUCUCGAGUCCGGAAGAGGUGAGUGGAACUCCGAGUGUAGAGGUGAAAUUCGUAGAUAUUCGGAAGAACACCAGUGGCGAAGGCGGCUCACUGGUCCGGUACUGACGCUGAGGUGCGAAAGCGUGGGGAGCAA
rnacentral:rRNA from 1 species